rnacentral:ncRNA from 1 species
AACGGGGGUGCCUCAGGCUGAGAUGCAAUUACUGCAAACCCUUAUAACCUGACAUGGAUCAUACCAGCGUAGGGAGUUU